GUUGAACGCUGGCGGCAGGCUUAACACAUGCAAGUCGAGCGGUAACAGGAGAAGCUUGCUUCUCGCUGACGAGCGGCGGACGGGUGAGUAAUACUUAGGAAUCUACCUAGUAGUGGGGGAUAGCUCGGGGAAACUCGAAUUAAUACCGCAUACGACCUACGGGAGAAAGGGGGCAACUUGUUGCUCUCGCUAUUAGAUGAGCCUAAGUCGGAUUAGCUAGAUGGUGGGGUAAAGGCCUACCAUGGCGACGAUCUGUAGCUGGUCUGAGAGGAUGAUCAGCCACACCGGGACUGAGACACGGCCCGGACUCCUACGGGAGGCAGCAGUGGGGAAUAUUGGACAAUGGGGGCAACCCUGAUCCAGCCAUGCCGCGUGUGUGAAGAAGGCCUUUUGGUUGUAAAGCACUUUAAGCAGUGAAGAAGACUCCAUGGUUAAUACCCAUGGACGAUGACAUUAGCUGCAGAAUAAGCACCGGCUAACUCUGUGCCAGCAGCCGCGGUAAUACAGAGGGUGCAAGCGUUAAUCGGAAUUACUGGGCGUAAAGCGAGCGUAGGUGGCUUGAUAAGUCAGAUGUGAAAGCCCCGGGCUUAACCUGGGAACGGCAUCUGAUACUGUUAGGCUAAAGUAGGUGAGAGGAAGGUAAAAUUCCAGGUGUAGCGGUGAAAUGCGUAGAGAUCUGGAGGAAUACCGAUGGCGAAGGCAGCCCUUCUGGCAUCAUACUGACACUGAGGUUCGAAAGCGUGGGUAGCAAACAGGAUUAGAUACCCUGGUAGUCCACGCCGUAAACGAUGUCUACUAGUCGUUGGGUCCCUUGAGGACUUAGUGACGCAGCUAACGCAAUAAGUAAAC
rnacentral:rRNA from 1 species